AAAAUUUUUUAUAAUAAAUGGUGUAACGACAUCUUCAUCUCUAGAUCGGUUUAUACACCGACGAAUGGCAUAUAUGUGUAUGAUGAGAAUGAAGAAACUCAGGGAAUUUAACUGAUCUCUCUAUAAAGACUAGUAAGCCUUCUUGCUCAGUUUCUGUACAUGGGAGCGUCUAUUAUGCACAUUGUGUAGUCUGUAACGAGACCUACUGUGCUGUGUGCGGUGCAUUUCCAGAUCAUUUUCCUGCUUGGUGUGCUGACAACACUGAGUGGACUCAACAUUAUAUCAACCAGACUAACGAAGUCAAUGAGGUCUUGAAUGCUAUCACAGAUUUGAAUCAACGAAUAUUAGAUAUGCUUGAUUACAGGGAGAUCAUUGGCCAUUUCCUAUAUGAUCAUCACCCACAUAUUUUAUUUGUUGUUGAUGAGAUGAGAAGGAUCUUGCGCAUUUUGGCCAUGACUCGUGUCAUCGCUUUUAUCAAUCCGGGUCUAGCACUUCUAAACAGUGUGGAGUACACAAAUCUGGUGGAUCACUUUAACGCAUUACAUGCCCAGCUUGAUCUCAACAUUGCUAAUAAUGGAGCUUUUAACUUGGCUGGUACGAGGUGGCUUGCAGCUGAUUCUGUUAUCCAACUCAUAGGAUAAAGAGUCAACACACAGACCUGGCUGAACUUAAGAGCGUGCUCUUCGCCGGCGAGCUGGAGAUUACCGGAGACGAAAACAAGCAUACCGGAAGCGGGACCAGAAGGCUGACAAUCAACGGUAGAGAUGUCAUGCUUGCACUGCUAGAAAGGAAGAGAGGUGAAAUUAUAGUACCUUCGACAGACCAUUCUUCUUCUUCGUCUUCUUCUUUGGUUCUCUCAGAUUCGAGUCGGAGAUGGCAAUGAAUUUGAGGUUUGAAGAAGUAGGAUGCGAGAAUUUUUUUCUGAAUCAUCGGACCUAAUCUGAAUUAAUUUUCUUGUGAAUUUUGUUCUCAAGAGAAAAUGGUGAAGAACGGAUGAGAGGUUGAAGAGAAUCUCGCCAAACACUUAGUUAGGCGAUGAACGGAUGAGAUUACCUUAAACAUGCAACCGCCAAAGCCUCUGAACGGAUAAGAUGUCGCCACGUCAUGUAUCCGAGUAUAACUUAUUGAUUGGCUUGAGUAAAUUGAUCUUGUCUUAGAUCCGAUGAAUGGCUGAGAUCUCGCCACAUCAGCAAUCCGAGUGAAACAUUAUGAUUGGCUUAUUUUGUUUAUAUGCAUAAAAAUG